rnacentral:rRNA from 1 species
UUGGCUCAGAAGCAGCCACCAUUUAAAGAGUGCGUAAUAGCUCACUGGUCGAGAGACGCUGCGCCGAAAAUGUCCGGGGCUCAAGCACGGAACCGAAGCUAUGGCAUGAUAGCAAUAUCAUGGGUAGGGGAGCGUUCUUAUAAGGAAGAAGCAUGACCGGAAGGACAUGUGGACGAAUAAGAAGUGAGAAUGCCGGUAUGAGUAUCGAAAAGAAAGGUGAGAAUCCUUUCCACCGAAAGCCCGAGGGUUCCUGAGCAACGAUCGUCGACUCAGGGUAAGUCGGGACCUAAGCCGAGGCGAGAAGCGUAGGCGAUGGACAACAGGUUGAAAUUCCUGUACCGGAUCAAGUCGAUCGAGCGAAGGAGCGACGCAGGAGGGCACAUGAUCGCGCGGCUGGAAGAGCGCGUCCAAGUGCGUAUGUUGCUGCAGAGGAAAACCCCUGCGGCUGAAAGCAGAGACAUGAUGGGGAGUUAAAGGAAACUUUGACGAACUCAUGGAUCCCACACUGCCAAGAAAAACUUCUAGCGAGACAAGAUCCGCCCGUACCGUAAACCGACACAGGUAGGCGGGGAGAGAAUCCUAAGGUGCGCGGGAAAACCCUCGUUAAGGAACUCGGCAAAUUGCAUCCGUAACCUAGGGAGAAGGAUGGCCCCCGGUCAGUGAAGAGCAGAAACGCUCAGAGCUAAAAGGGGCGGCAGAAAAGAGGCCCAAGCAACUGUUUACCAAAAACACAGGUGCCUGCGAAAGCGAAAGCUGAAGUAUAGGUGCUGACGCCUGCCCGGUGCCGGAAGGUUAAGGAGAGAAGUUAGCGAAAGCGAAGCAUCGAACUGAAGCCCCGGUGAACGGCGGCCGUAACUAUAACGGUCCUAAGGUAGCGAAAUUCCUUGUCGGGUAAGUUCCGACCCGCAUGAAAGGCGUAAUGAUUUGGGCACUGUCUCAACGAGGGGCCCGGUGAAAUUGAAAUACCUGUGAAGAUGCAGGUUACCCGCGACUGGACAGAAAGACCCCAUGGAGCUUCACUGCAGCUUGAGAUUGAAUCCCGGUGACAGAUGCACAGGAUAGGUGGGAGGCGCCGAAGCAUUGCCCUAGGGCGGUGCGGAGCCGAUGUUGGGAUACCACCCUUCUGUUGCUGAGAUUCUAACGCGAGGAGUAACGACCCUGCGGACCCUCUCAGGCAGGCGGUUUGACUGGGGCGGUCGCCUCCGAAAGAGUAACGGAGGCGCCCAAAGGUUCCCUCAGGCCGGACAGAAACCGGCCGAAGAGUGCAAAGGCAGAAGGGAGCUUGACUGCGAGACCAACAAGUCGAGCAGGGACGAAAGUCGGGCUUAGUGAUCCGGUGGUACCGAGUGGAAGGGCCAUCGCUCAACGGAUAAAAGCUACCCUGGGGAUAACAGGCUAAUCUCUCCCAAGAGUCCAUAUCGACGGGGAGGUUUGGCACCUCGAUGUCGGCUCAUCACAUCCUGGGGCUGAAGUAGGUCCCAAGGGUUGGGCUGUUCGCCCAUUAAAGUGGUACGCGAGCUGGGUUCAAAACGUCGUGAGACAGUUUGGUUCAUAUCCAUCGCGGGCGCAAGAAGUUUGAGAGGAGCUGCUCCUAGUACGAGAGGACCGGAGUGGACGGAUCAACGGUGUCCCAGUUGUCACGCCAGUGGCACGGCUGGAAAGCCGCAUCCGGGAAGGAUAAACGCUGAAAGCAUCUAAGCGUGAAGCCAACCUCAAGAUGAGACUUCU